rnacentral:misc_RNA from 1 species
AAGUCGUAACAAGGUUUCCGUAGGUGAACCUGCGGAAGGAUCAUUAUCGAAUAGAGGAUGUUGCUGGCAACGACGUUGCACGGUGCACUCCUGACCCUUCUCACACCCGUGUGCACCUUUUGUAGGUUUCGACCUAUGUUUUUCUUACAAACUCCAUCGAAUGCAUACGAAUGUACGAUUUAAGCACAACUUUCAACAACGGAUCUCUUGGCUCUC